rnacentral:lncRNA from 1 species
AUGGGUGAUUUUAUACCAGGAGGAGGAAAGUUCAGAGCAAAAACAACUGCUGAGGUCACUUUGUUCAGGCCCUGGUUUCUGGCUGUGACGCCCCUGCAGCCGACAGGAGCCACCUCUCCCAGGUACUGUUGCACUCUCACAGCGGACACCUCCUUCGCGGCAUCUUCUUGGAGAAAAGGAACAGGGUUUGGGCAAAUCGAAAAUAAAGUCAAGGAAUCAGUGCAUAUACAUUUCGGAAAUAAUCACUUGGUUUUUAAACACAGCAAAAGUCUUAGAAAAGGAUUUUUUCCAUUUAUAAGACAUCCAUAUAAGUAUUCUGAUGGCACCUAUGUGCUUCAGGGGAUUUUGCACCUCAGCCCUCUAGCUUUUAGGGCUGGAUAAUCUGCUGGGGGCUGUCCUGUGCAUUGCACAGUGUUGGGAGCACACCCGGCCACUACCAGGGAUGGGUGGAUGCCAGAAGAAUGCUCCUCCUCGCUUGUGACAACCAAAAAAUGUUUCCAGGCACUGCCAUAUGUUUGCUGGGAAGCAGGAUCGCUCCCGGCUGAGCAGGCUGAACGCGGAUCCUGCGGACCUAUAUGGUGGCUGAGCUGCUUGCCCGUCUUGUUUUGGUGCUCACGGAAGAACACCACCAGCCUGAAAAAAAAGCCAGCUGCUCGCAGGGCACUUGUCCCUACUGCCAGCGAACACAUGCAGAGUCAAUUCGGGGUCACGCGUUGUGCUAGGCACCCAGCGUGAGCCACACCCAGAUCCAGAACCAUCCCUGCCCACCCUCCAGCGGCUUAUAAAAUAGUCAGCUCCACUUUGGGAGUUUAAAAAUAGGUCACUGUAAAUCCGAUGAUAGUCAUCCCUCUACCCACUUCCCAAAUUACUCCCCAAGAACACCCAUGGGACUUCACCGCCUGCCCGGGAGCCCACCCUCCCCAAAGCUCCACCUCCUGUCGGGGCAAGGGUGGAAGAUAUGUUUGCUGGUGGUUUCCUGAAGCAUCCUACGGGGCGUCCGGGGAGAGCACUAAGCUGCGUCUCACGGAUGCAAAGGCUGAGCCACUGACGCAGCAAAGUAGAAGCCAGACCAUUAUCUGGAUAAUACAGGUCAAAAACCCUUGAAAUGCAAAUUAAGUAUUUUUUGCCAACAUAAGCCAGUGUACUCUUUCGAUUCAUGCUUUGUCUGGGGUGCGACAGCUGACCAUCCCACAUGCAAGAUAUGUUUUAAUGCACCCAGUCCGUUUUUAACUGCUGUCCGUUUUUAAACCUCUGCUUGCCCACCUCUGCCCUCUGGAAGGCGAGCAGCAGGGCAGGCUGCCUCCUGGGUGCUCUGCAUGACCUGGUCCGAGCGAUGCUCCUGUUUCAGACACCGGUGUAGGUGCAGCGGGAGGGGGUGUAAACGUGGGUCCACUUUCAUCCCUUUGAUUUUGUUCAUCAUUAACUUCAGCGUCACUGUCCUGGAAGGGUUGGCUCGGCCGAGGAGUUGUCAUCCCACCGCAGAGGCCCAUGGCCAGCGUGGAGGCCCCUAUGCUUUAACUCUGCUGCACUGCAAGCAGGUCACCAACCAAGGGCGAACAUCUUCAAAAACUUUUCCGUCGUUCCCUAUCAUUCGGUCUCCUAGUGAAGGCUAGUCUUAUUCAGACAGAAUUUGGCCCAAGGUUUUUAGAGGCUUUAAUAGAUAAUUAAAAGAAAACACUGCAUUUAGAUGUCAAGCGAGAGCCAUCAGGUGCCUAUUAGCCAGGAAGUCACACAUUUGUAGGGACAUUAUAGGGUCCCAGUUAGAGCAUGGAUCCCAGUAGCCUGGCCUCUGGAUCCCGUUAUGGUGGUUGGAAGAUUUGAGGUGGAUCGCACCUGUUUAUUAUCUUCUCCAAUAAAGGGCUGUGUUCAUUAUUUGCUUGUUUGUUUUAGUGGGAAUGAAUGAACCCUGCUAACGCCAGGCCUGGUGUGGACUCGAGGGCCAGGCCCACCUUGGAUGGGAGCUCAGUGUGGGUAGAGCUGGCACUUACUGAAGAAUCAGAUAAAUGUGACGCCGAGCACCAGGUGGGGAUGUGCAAAGCAGAGGCACAGCCUUGGGUGUAUGUGAGAUGGGGCUGACCGGUUCAGGGGUCAGAGCUGAGAUCUCUGGGAUCCAGAGGUGAGAUCCUGGGGAUCUGUGGGUGAGUCAGCAGGAAUCUCACCUGGCUGGGACGGGUGGGAUGCCGCUAGCCACACCCAAGGUCCCAGUCCUCAGAGCCCUGGGUGCACAGGGAAGGUGUUCAGGUGGUGGGUAGCAGGGACAGAGGGGAGAGGUGCUGAGAUGGGGUCCUGGGCUUUGGGGAGACAGGGUGGAUCCUGUCCUGUGUCUGUGGCCUUGAGAAGUGGGCGGGGGUGCUGCUAGUGUGUCUCAUCUUCAAACACCAGCAUGGAUCAGGGUGGCGGGAGAGAACGAGGCUGAGGGUCAGAGCGAAGGAGAGAGGUGUCAAGACUUCAGUUGUAAAUGGACUGAGAUUGAGAGAGCGGAGAGGGGACACUCACCAGGCAGUGGGACACUCGCUCCCAGCCUGUGGGGGCUGCCUCGGGGCUGCAGUCCCAGAUCACCAGGGACCUGCCACGGAGAGGUGAGGGUCACCCAGGCAGGUAUGGAAGUGGGUGCAGGUGUGGACACGGGGCCAGGUGUGGCGGUGGUUACAGGUAUGGAGGUGGUGCCGCUGUGGAUGCAAGGUGAGGUGAGAACAGCUGCGGGUAGGACAGGACAAGGUGAGGUGGCUGGGGAAGCCAGCGAAAACACCAGGAGGCUGGAUGCAUGCUGGGCAAGCGGGAGGGGAGAGGGUCAAGAGGGUGACCAGUCCGGGGUGCCACGGCGGCGGAACGUGGUAACAGGGAGCUUCUGGUGAGCUCAGUGGUGUGAUGGAGCAGAGUAGACGGAGGGGCCUGGCAGGGGCAGGACUGAGUCCGUCGCGAACACGGUGGCAGUUUCAUGGGCCAGGUGGGGUGGGCGUCGUGCAGGGGUUCAUCUUUUCUUAGGACACUUGAGUGUGUUUAAGGCUGGCGGGCAGGAGAGGCUGGGUGCGGGCCACAGGCCAGCGGGAGAGGGCGGGGAAACAUGGGGUUAGGGACAGGAAGGCAGUGCCAGGCAGCGUCACCACGGGCCUCAGACCUCAGAUGGGAACGGCGAGGGGGGUGGGGCUCCUCCAUAAAACUAUGAAGAGUAGUAUUUGAUGACAUCGUCAAUGCAAAGACAAAUCGGGUCCAGGCCGGAGUCGACAUUUUUAUAUGCGUAUUGUCACGUUCAUUUCUCUUCUGGCUUCACCCCACACCCCGCAGGCCGACCUGUGCCUGGGGAUGGGGAAGCCUGGGAGCUGGUGGAGGAAGGUCUGAACAGCUCGUAGUGGCCCAAAAGAGAACUCCAAAAUAUAGGGGAUUUAAGAAUGAGGAUGUCAUGCACACAUUUUCCAUUUGUUUUCGAGGUAACGUCGAGUGGUUUCCAAUCGUGCUUUCCAGUUCUGAGACUCUCAUAUGACAGGAACGCAAAACACAGCACAAUGCCUGCCUAAGAGUUAGGUCUGUCCCCUCGUGGCACAGAACCUUUCACAGGGCAGUGGGGACGCAGGCUUUUUGCCCUAACCUGGGAACCCACAUCUGCCCCCCCUCCCCUGGCCGAGGAUAAAGACUGUGAUGCCCGUAAUGGCCCCCAAAGAGAUAUGUCCACAUCCUAACCCCGUUAACACCUGUGAACGUAACUUUCUGUGGAAUAAGGAUCUUUGAAGAUAUAUAAUUAGGUUAAGGAUCUCAAGAUGAGACAUCCUGGAUCUUGCAGGCACCACGACCAGGGACAAGUGUCCUUGGAAAGAAGAGGGAGAGACAGAACAGGGAGGGAAGCUCGGGUGAUGUGUCCACAAGCCAAGAGAUGCUUGGAGCCACCAGAAGCUGGAAGAGGCAGGAGGGCAUCUCCCCAAAACCUUCAGAGGGAGGUUUGACCCCCUGAUGUAGGACGUCGGGGACCCAGAACUAAGAGGCAGUGGCCACUGCUGCAGCAGCCCCAGGACACGCACAUGGCACCGGGCGCAGGUGACAGUCCACGGGCUUCCAGAGGGGGC